GGCCCGAUAGCGCAGUGGCAAGCGCGUCCACUAAAAUUCAUGGGAAGGCUCCUGUUCGAUUCAGGAUUGGGCCU